AUGACUUAACUAAGUGCAAUGGAGCCAACAUCAUAUCAUUGUGAGGCUUCAUUCUCUAGAGGCCAAAUAAGAUAGGUACUUGCAAGAGAUGCAAAUGAGUAAGCGUACUCUCUCAUUAUUAUUGAUGCUAGCCAACAUCAUAUCAUUGUGAGGUGGGCUUGGUAAUGAUGAGUCUCCCAUACCCUACUAAGAGUUUCCUCCAAAAUUCUCGAAUUUCGAUGAGGGAUAUGGAAUUUGCCAAAAAUAGUGGGUGGUGCUAUUUGAUUUAAAGACCCGGAUCAAAUGGCUUAAAAUCAAUCAAUUUAUAUUAGUUAUGUAUUUAUUUACCAAUAUAUUUGCAAAUGCUAUCCAAAACUUGACGAAGAAAAAGCCGAAAGCUUUAGUUUCCGGACUUGGUACUACAAUCCCAUAGAUUGUCUAUAAUGGCUUGUAUAUGUACCUAAGUAGUCUCAUCCUCACAAUCUUCCUAUUGAUAAUGUAUCAUUGGAAGAACAUGUUAGAUAAGUCUAUCAUAAAGAGGACAACACUUUUAAUGUCAUAAUUCUUCAAUUACAAAUUGUUGUAUGAAGAAAUAAGAGUUGCUUUGAACAACCCUUAGCUAACGCAAACAUUAGUGCUUGUUUCUUUGUUACAUGAACAAGGAACUUAAGAAGUAAGCACAAGGGCAUGGACACUUUAUGUGCCAUGAUUCUUCACUUACAAAUUGUGUAUGAAGAAAUGAGAGUUGCCUUGAACAACUCUUGAAAGUUUGUAAUUAUGUUUAGAACAUAAUGGUUGGUUGACAAAAAUAGUCCAACAACAUACUUAUGUUGAUUUUGAAUCAUUGAGUGUUGAAGUGUUAAACCACUUCUAGAGACGGAAACUAGGCAAGGACUUCACCUUUGUGUCCCUAUCCAAAUGGUUCACUAAGUUUAUUGUAAACUAUAUAGUGAACAAUAACCACACGCUCUCCAAAUCGUUUGAUGUGUAUAACACAAUUGAAAUAAGUUUCAAGAGAGAUAGUGGGAGUUUAGGGACCAUGACUAUUCUAGUCAAAGGAGAAGUCAAAUGAAGAAGGCGAAAUAACUCCAAGGGAACAAACUUUCUUUAUGAAAUGAUGGACAUUGGAAGGGGUAUUUGCAAGAAAUGUCUUGCAAGUGUCAAGAACACACCUUUCGAAGGUGUUGUAAAUUGUUCUUGAAUAGUUCAAAAUAGUUGGUUCUUCUACUUGAAUGCUUGAUUCUGUAUUAGUAACUAUGUUUUACAAUCGUUGUAAAAGUGUGGCUAAUAAGAAGCAGAAGAUUAAUGAGAGAAGAGAAAGUACUUCACAUUCGGAACGUGAAUCAAAUGUAGAUCUCUGUGAAAGCAUAUCGUACUUACUUCCUCAUAUGAACUACCAAAGAAAUUGGAAAAACCAAAGAUUGUCUUUACAUUCCAAUUUUAAGGAACUUAAUUCCGUCACUAUGAGAGAUGGAUGAAUGUUUUGUUUGACAAAACAUUGUUCUUUAUUAAUGAAUGAUUAGUUUAUUGUAAUCUAAUUGAUUAUCUCUAUAGUAGAGAUGAUAUGGUAGUGUUAACUGUUUAGAAUAUAACGAUGCUUAAAACCCAAAAGGUUGCAAGGUAGUGACUAAUCCCAACUGAGUUAUGAUACCUCUAAAACAUAAAUUACGAGUUGGUCACAGAUGGAUGCUUUGGAUCGUUAGAUCCGGAUCCAAUGCCUUCUUGUUAAAAUUGUAUAGAGGCAAAAUGUUUGAAUCUUUAUUCUUUUGGAAAGGAAGAAAGAAUCACAAAGUUGUUGAGGUAAAUUCACUUAGAUGUUAGUGGCACAUGUCCACAACAUAAUACUACUCAUGUUGUAUGACAUUCACCGAAGAUCGCUCUCGGUUGGACUAUCAUUUAUUUUGAAUAAACACAAGCCCGAAUACUUUGCAAAAGGUUUCAAAGAAUUCAAGAAAUGUAAGUUGAUGAGUAAGAUGUUUAAAGUAUUUACCUCCUUAGAUUUGAUCCAAGAAAAUGUAACACUUUAGAAUAGUUUCCUUGAAGAUAUCAAGGAAAGAAGCAUCAUAUGAUAAUGGAUUUCUCCAUUAAGAGAAGAACGAACUCGAAUAAGAUUUAGUUCGUUGGAUGUUAUCAAUUACCCACAUAUAUAGGAUAUAUACUUCUAAGACAAUAUGAUUGUCAAUUAGAAGAUCUUCCAAAAUUUUCAUGACUCCAUAGGAUGUAGUUGGAAAGAAAGACAAGUCUUAAUCGUGUUAAGAUUUGGGGUUGUGUGCUAAUAAGCAAUAUUUGUUUGAGAAUUAUCUUGUGGAUAUCCUUAAAUUAACCUUUGGAUAUCACUUCUAUAAACCAAUUAACAAAUGUUGUUUUGUUGGGUAGUUCAUUGUAAUCCUACAAUAUGAUUUGCCUAAGCGCAAAUGAACGACAGAUAGAACUCAAAGAAUGGGUUCUUUGAGAGACAAGAUGAUAAUCAACAAAUAUAACAACCUAGUUCCUACACCACAAGCUCCAAGGUAGUUGAGAAGGAUUUAUAAACUGUCUCAGUUGAAUGGUUUGAACUUUAUGACUAUGUCAUAGAGUUACACCUCUUAAUUCGAAAGAAAUAAGAAUGAAAAUCCUUAUGACUACAUUGAGUGUAUAUACGACAUAUACUCAAGGAAAUGGUAAAGUACCAUUUGACCCGAAAUAAUGAAACCUUUAUAGCUAAUUGGUAGCUUAAGGUGACUAAAAUCAAAGAGAUUGGUUGACUUUGAAGAAACCAUCCUUGACGUAGUCUUGGUUUCAAUUAAUUCGAAGAUUGCUAGCUACAACUAAAUGGUGAUUCAAUGUUUGGACAUGUAUGGGUUUCCGAAACCAUUAUUUAGAUAGUCUUGAUAAUAUAUGUCUAAAACUAUGAAUCACAAGACAUGUAAGUUGUAGAGAUCCAUCCAUCAUGAAUCUUAGCAAGCUAGUGGGAGCUAUAAGCGUCUUAUGAGAGAAAGAUCAAAUUGUUUGAUUUCUCAUAAAGAUGUAAAUGAAUCUUUUGUUUACUAGGUUUACAAAAGAUUAGUGGGAGUUAAUCAUGUUCCUAAAUUUGAAUAUAUAUAUACACAUAUAUGAUAUAUUAAUUUUGGAAAUGAAAAGGAUACUUCUUCAUUAAAGUUAUGACUUUAAACAUUCUAUAACGAUAGAAUGUAUAUGGGAGACAUAUUCUAUAAACAUGGGAUGGAAAUCUAUAAUGAUAGAUUUCAGGAUAUAAUUGGAUUGUAUCAAGCCCUAAUAAUAGACAAAAGAUGCUAGGAAGUUUCUCAUAUGAUGAUAAACUUCAAUCAGAAGAACAACUCUAGUGAGACUAGGAGGUGGCUCUUCUCAAAGGGAACGUACCCUUUGACUCCCAAAGAAAUAAUGCGUAAAUAGAAUCCUUUAUGCAUACACAGAAAGGUGAUUUAUGUAUUUCAUAUUGUAUGAAAAACGUUGAUAUGAGUUGUACCAAGAUCGGUACAAGACAAUAUCAAUGCAAGCCCAAGAUCAGAAUCAUGGCAACUGUCAAGUGAAUCCUUAAGUAUUUGAGAAAUAAUAAAGGAUAGAUUCCUCAAGAAUAAGGAAGAAUUAGAUUAACGUAAUGGAAGCGUAAAUGUAUUAGAUUAUGAAUCUAAUCCAUCAUUGGAUGUUUCUUCAUUAUGAAUGAAGAGAUAAUCAGAUAUCUUUUUAUUAUGACUAAAGAGAUAUUUGGAUGGAAACAUUAAAAGUAAUGACUUUAGUGUGUUCCAUUGUGAAUGCAAAUAUAUUGCCACAUAAAGCUUACAACAAUGUUGUUUGGAUGAGAAAGUUCAUUCAUGAACUCUUUAUUCGGUUCCAACCAGAAAGUGUCUCUAGUGUACCGACACUACAACACUAAUGGGGCGAUAGCUCAAGCCAAGGAAUCAAGGUCUCAUCAUGAUCUGAACUCAAAUGAGAGACUAAACCACAUGAUUAAGAAUCAUGUAUAAUGGUGACGUCGUUAUUCUCAAGGUUGCUUCUAUGGAUAACAUAUAAAUAUCCAUUGUCUAGGCCUACUACUCAGCCUUUUUUGAAAUGACUACAGAAGAGGUAUCAUCACUG
rnacentral:lncRNA from 1 species